AACGAACGCUGGCGGCAUGCCUAACACAUGCAAGUCGAACGAGACCUUCGGGUCUAGUGGCGCACGGGUGCGUAACGCGUGGGAACCUGCCCUUAGGUUCGGAAUAACUCCCCGAAAGGGGUGCUAAUACCGGAUAAUGUCUUCGGACCAAAGAUUUAUCGCCUUUGGAUGGGCCCGCGUUGGAUUAGCUAGUUGGUAGGGUAAAAGCCUACCAAGGCGACGAUCCAUAGCUGGUCUGAGAGGAUGAUCAGCCACACUGGGACUGAGACACGGCCCAGACUCCUACGGGAGGCAGCAGUGGGGAAUAUUGGACAAUGGGCGAAAGACUGAUCCAGCAAUGCCGCGUGAGUGAUGAAGGACUUAGGGUUGUAAAGCUCUUUUAACCGGGAUGAUAAUGACAGUACCGGGAGAAUAAGCGCCGGCUAACUCCGUG
rnacentral:rRNA from 1 species